rnacentral:rRNA from 1 species
CCUACGGGUGGCAGCAGUAGGGAAUAUUGCUCAAUGGGGGAAACCCUGAAGCAGCAACGCCGCGUGGAGGAUGAAGGUUUUCGGAUUGUAAACUCCUUUUGUUAGAGAAGAUAAUGACGGUAUUUAUCAAAUAAGCACCGGCUAACUCCGUGCCAGCAGCCGCGGUAAUACGGAGGGUGCAAGCGUUACUCGGAAGCACUGGGCGGAAAGAGCGCGUAGGCGGGAUAGCAAGUCAGAUGUGAAAUCCUAUGGCUUAACCAUAGAACUGCAUUUGAAACUGGUAUUCUAGAGUAUGGUAGAGGUAGGUGGAAUUCUUGGUGUAGGGGUAAAAUCCGUAGAGAUCAAGAGGAAUACUCAUUGCGAAGGCGACCUGCUAGAACAUAACUGACGCUGAUGCGCGAAAGCGUGGGGAGCAAACAGGAUUAGAUACCCUAGUAGUC